UACGUAGGGUGCAAGCGUUAAUCGGAAUUACUGGGCGUAAAGCGUGCGCAGGCGGCUUUGCAAGACAGAUGUGAAAUCCCGGGGCUUAACCUGGGAACUGCAUUUGUGACUGCAUUGCUGGAGUGCGGCAGAGGGGGAUGGAAUUCCGCGUGUAGCAGUGAAAUGCGUAGAUAUGCGGAGGAACACCGAUGGCGAAGGCAAGCCCCUGGGCCUGCACUGACGCUCAUGCACGAAAGCGUGGGGAGCAAACAGG
rnacentral:rRNA from 1 species